rnacentral:rRNA from 1 species
UCUACGGGUGGCUGCAGUGAGGAAUAUUGGUCAAUGGCCGAGAGGCUGAACCAGCCAAGUCGCGUGAGGGAAGAAUGUCCUAUGGAUUGUAAACCUCUUUUGUCAGGGAGCAAAGUCACCCACGUGUGGGUGUUGGAGAGUACCUGAAGAAAAAGCAUCGGCUAACUCCGUGCCAGCAGCCGCGGUAAUACGGAGGAUGCGAGCGUUAUCCGGAUUUAUUGGGUUUAAAGGGAGCGUAGGUGGAUUGUUAAGUCAGUUGUGAAAGUUUGCGGCUCAACCCCGUCGUGCCGUUGAAACUGGCGUUCUUGAGUGCGCGAGAAGUAUGCGGAAUGCGUGGUGUAGCGGUGAAAUGCAUAGAUAUCACGCAGAACUCCGAUUGCGAAGGCAGCAUACCGGCGCUCAACUGACGCUCAUGCACGAAAGCGUGGGUAUCGAACAGGAUUAGAUACCCCGGUAGUC